rnacentral:rRNA from 1 species
GGAGUGAAGAAGGCCUUAGGGUUGUAAAGCUCUUUCAGCGGGGACGAUAAUGACGGUACCCGCAGAAGAAGCCCCGGCUAACUUCGUGCCAGCAGCCGCGGUAAUACGUAGGGUGCAAGCGUUAAUCGGAAUUACUGGGCGUAAAGCGUGCGCAGGCGGUUAUGUAAGACAGUUGUGAAAUCCCCGGGCUCAACCUGGGAACUGCAUCUGUGACUGCAUAGCUAGAGUACGGUAGAGGGGGAUGGAAUUCCGCGUGUAGCAGUGAAAUGCGUAGAUAUGCGGAGGAACACCGAUGGCGAAGGCAAUCCCCUGGACCUGUACUGACGCUCAUGCACGAAAGCGUGGGGGAGCGAACAGGAUUAGAAUACCCUGGUAGUCCACGCCCUAAACGAUGUCAAACUGGUUGUUGGGUCUUCACUGACUCAGUAACGAAGCUAACGCGUGAAGUUGACCGCCUGGGGGAGUACGGUCGCAAGACUGAAACUCAAAGGAAUUG